rnacentral:rRNA from 1 species
GCCUGCUCACUGAUAAUAUUUAAGAGCCGCGGUAUUUUGACCGUGCAAAGGUAGCAUAAUCAUUAGUCUCUUAAUUAGAGGCUGGAAUGAAUGGCUUGACGAGAAAUUAACUGUCUCUUGAUAAUAUUUUGAAUUUAACUUUUAAGUCAAAAGGCUUAAAUAUUUUUUAAGGACGAGAAGACCCUAUAGAGCUUAACAUUAAAUUUAUAUUUGGUUUUUAGUUUAUCUUUCUAUAUAUAACUGUAAUGUUUUGUUGGGGUGACAUGAAGAAUUAAUAAACUCUUCAUUUUUUAAUCAUUAAUUUAUGUUUAUUUUGAUCCAUAAUUUAUGAUCAUAAGAUUAAGUUACCUUAGGGAUAACAGCGCAAUUGAUUUUGAGAGCUCAAAUCAACA